rnacentral:rRNA from 1 species
UAAACGGACGGGAGGGAAACCCGUACGGACCCGUCCAAAACGAGGGGGACAACAAGUGGAAACGACUGCUAAUACCGCAUAAGCCCACAGCUCGGCAUCGAGCAGAGGGAAAAGGAGUGAUCCGCUUUGAGAUGGCCUCGCGUCCGAUUAGCUAGUUGGUGAGGUAAUGGCCCACCAAGGCGACGAUCGGUAGCCGGACUGAGAGGAUGAACGGCCACAUUGGGACUGAGACACGGCCCAG